rnacentral:misc_RNA from 1 species
GUAGGUGAACCUGCGGAAGGAUCAUUACCGAGACGAAGGGCUCCCGGCCCCGAACCUCCCACCCGUGUUUACCGACCUUUUGUUGCUUUGGUGGGCUUGCAUCCGGGUUAGAAGCCCGGCUGCCGCCGCGUGCCCGCCGAAAGCCCCCCCCAAACUCAUUUACCGGUUGAAGUCUGAGUGACCAAACAAUAAUCAAAACUUUCAACAACGGAUCUCUUGGUUCUG